rnacentral:rRNA from 1 species
GAUGAACGCUGGCGGCGUGCCUAAUACAUGCAAGUCGAGCGAACGGACGAGAAGCUUGCUUCUCUUAUGUUAGCGGCGGACGGGUGAGUAACACGUGGAUAACCUACCUAUAAGACUGGGAUAACUUCGGGAAACCGGAGCUAAUACCGGAUAAUAUUUUGAACCGCAUGGUUCAAAAGUGAAAGACGGUCUUGCUGUCACUUAUAGAUGGAUCCGCGCUGCAUUAGCUAGUUGGUAAGGUAACGGCUUACCAAGGCAACGAUGCACAGCCGACCUGAGAGGGUGAUCGGCCACACUGGAACUGAGACACGGUCCAGACUCCUACGGGAGGCAGCAGUAGGGAAUCUUCCGCAAUGGGAGAAAGCCUGACGGAGCAACGCCGAGUGAGUGAUGAAGGUCUUCGGAUCGUAAAACUCUGUUAUUAGGGAAGAACACAUGUGUAAGUAACUGUGCACAUCUUGACGGUACCUAAUCAGAAAGCCACGGCUAACUACGUG